UACGUAGGGGGCAAGCGUUGCCCGGAAUCAUUGGGCGUAAAGCGCGCGUAGGCGGCCCGGUAAGUCCGCUGUGAAAGUCAAAGGCUCAACCUUUGAAUGUCAGCGGAUACUGCCGGGCUAGAGUCCGGAAGAGGCGAGUGGAACUCCUGGUGUAGCGGUGAAAUGCGCAGAUAUCAGGAGGAACACCAAUUGCGAAGGCAGCUCGCUGGGACGUUACUGACGCUGAGACGCGAAAGCGUGGGGAGCAAACAGG
rnacentral:rRNA from 1 species